rnacentral:rRNA from 1 species
ACUCCUACGGGAGGCAGCAGUGAGGAAUCUUGCGCAAUGGACGAAAGUCUGACGCAGCAACGCCGCGUGAGGGAUGACGGCCUUCGGGUUGUAAACCUCUUUUGUCAGGGACGAUGAUGACGGUACCUGACGAAUAAGCCACGGCUAACUACGUGCCAGCAGCCGCGGUAAU